rnacentral:misc_RNA from 1 species
GUCCAGUUCGCUGUAGACGCAUCUGAUACAGUAGAGGGAUAUAGGUAAAAUGAAGGCCACGCUGGUAACCGUCCUGUUGAUAUUUGGUGCUGUUACAGCGACCAAAGAUAUACACAAACGAGAAAAGAGACAGGCAGGAUGGGGAUCACAAAAUCGAGGUAGCGUGCCCACGCCAACAUGGGUGCCGACUACCAUAGGAACACAGGCUAACUUCGGUGGUGGUCAAAACUGGGGUAAUACCCAACCCACACCGGUAAGAUUCCCUUCAAGGUUCAACAAUAUGGCGCGGUCUAGAAAUAGUCUUCAGGCUCCUCCGACGUCCGCAAAUCCAACAUCUUCUUCUCGAAAUCGUGAUACAGGACUCUCAAAUCGUUCAAAAUCUGUAGGAAGCUCUCGGUCACCUCCUAUCGCUGGACGUGGGAAUUCCGGAGGAGGUCGGGGAUCGCCAACAAGACCUGCUCCAACUCAACCUGUACCAACCUACCCGCCCACUAUGCCUCCACGGCCCGUACGGAAAUCAAGACGAAAUAGACACAGGUCGCAAAACAAAUCACGCGCACCGCAAUCAAAUUUCGGAAUGGCAAACAUAGUUCCACCAUCGUUUUUACAAGGAUUAGGACGUGCUAUGGCUGAUAAACUGAGAACCAUGUGGAUAAAUCCCCUUUACCAACAACAAGCAAAGGCUGCCGGAGAUAACUUCGUUGUCAACCCAAGUCCGGUAAAUCUGGGUUAUCACGUAUGUCCCCCUGGUAUCAAAAAAGAAACAUGUGUCUACAACCCGUGUCCACGAUGUCUUAAUCAACUUAUCAGAUGUUGGACAAACCCAUGCGGCGGAUGCACAGGAGAAAUGUACUUACGUAAACAGAGGAUCCACGACUGUGAGACAAUUUAAAGGCUACAAAUCAAACUAUGUGUGAUCAAACGGUAUGUCGGAGCAUAUGAGAGGAGGUACAUAUCAAGUUCAAGGUUCUUCAAUUAAAGAAAUGGAUUGUCUUUGUGUAGUUUGCGAGUUGCAUCCCCGAGGAAAACCAGCAUUUAUAGAUUGAGUGCUUUAAUUAUAUACAAAUGUAAAGAAUUUUUACCAAAUAUUUACGUAGAAUUUAUAUAUUUAUGCAUUUUCGCUAUUAAGACAUUUAUUCUGUAACAUCUAAUAACAUGGAAUAAAUAU